ACUGCACAUAUACACCACUGAAGGUUGUUUUAAACAUGCCAAACAUAUAGGGGGCAGCGUAGCACAAAACUAAAACCUACAGUAUGUCAGUCUCAGAUUGCUUCAAAACAACCACAACUUCCUGUUAGGAGUUUA